rnacentral:lncRNA from 1 species
UUUUUUUUUUGCUUUUUUUUCGAAAAUUUUUACACCAAAAGAUUCUCCUCCUUCUUCUCCAUGCAAAUCCGGUAUUAGUUUUAAAAAGGGUAGAGAGAUUUGAGCUAGAUCUACAAAUGAAUAUGUGAAAGUUUUUACCUCUUUUUCCGGUCUCCGUCUCUCCUUCCGGUCCGGUUUUGCCUUUUGCUCCGAUCUGGUCCGUUUCCCCCUUGUUCCGGUUCGGCCUCCUUCUCUCCUUUCCGGUUCGCCUCUUUUCUCCGGUCCGGUCCGGUUCCGUUUGGUUGGGAUGAUGAUGAUUUGUGGUUGUAUGAAUGGUUUGAGGUUGUUGUUUAAGUUUUGUUGUUUGAUCUAAAAAGGGUUGGAAAAGUAGAAAAUGAGUGUUUGUGAAUUGCUGCUGAUUUUUCUGACGUGAACAGUGACUUCUGGCCCAUUUCCCAAUGAUUGACAGUGUUUUUAUAGUGACAAACUAGGGUUUCUCUGGUACAAACAAAUGACAAAAAUACCCCUGCAGCUGAGACUUGGAGA